rnacentral:lncRNA from 1 species
GUUGUGAUUGGGUGGUGGGGGAGCUUGGCCGAUCUGUUACACACAGCAGCACAUUAGGACUGUCAGGGUUAAGCGGGGAGAGCAGGGAGAGCCGUGUGACAGUAUCCUGGUCCUGGCUACGGAUACCCGGAGUGUUCCACCGUUUGGGUUUCACAUAUUUUGUCCUGGAACUGAUGCAAACUUUCUCUCCCCACAGAGAGAUCUCCUUGAGAUAGCAAAACUGGUGGAACCCCAUUCAAGAUUUGGUUUUACACUGGCCUGAGUGGAUCUUCAUUGUGUUGCUGGAGACCAUGUGGUUGCAUCUCACCUUCUUACUGCCUGUUCCAAACUGCCCCACUGGUUAUUCAGGAACUGGUGAUAUUGGAGAUGAUGGUUUGUACCCCAACUGCACAGAAAGAGCAGCCACAUAUAUAGACAGGUGGUUAUUUGGGGACAACAUCUUCUGGUAUCCAACAUGCAAGGGAAUCUCUGCAGCCAUCCUUUCUAAGUGCACAAGAGACGAAGGAUUUAUACCUGUCAAUAAAAAACCUUUUGUAAGUGCUUCCUGACCCUCUAAAUCCAGCUACUUCUCCAUCCACAAAA